UGUACAGAUUCAGUGUCUCUGUUACUGUCUCUGAGUAGUCAAAUGUAUCAGAAGGAGGUGAAUGGAGCAGAUUGAGAGGGAGAAUGUGAAGAAACAGCAGGUGGCGCUAGUGCACUGUUUUAGUUUGGGAUCUGCUGUUAGAAGGAAGAAGAAGGAGAAAGCAGGUGUGUUUGUGCUUCACAUUCCUGUCCAGUUGGUGGCGCUGAUGCACGAGAUCUGUUGUUAACUGGACUUUGAUUUUCUCCAAGAUGAAGUCGUGUCAGGUGACAAACAUCAAUCGUGAAGAUCGCACAGGUGUUUAACAGCGAUCACAAACCGAAAGUGUUGGAAAGACUUCUGGAUUCUGUUCCUGCAGCACAAGAUCGUCUGAACUACUGCAAGUCAUGAUGAGCAUCUGAUCGUCUUCAGAGACACAAAGAUCUCAGUGUUGAGCUGUUCAUCUGCAGUAUGUCAGAGAAGAGAGGAAAGAUGAGUCUCUCACACAAACAGAGUGUAAGAUCAGGAUCACAUGUGUCUGUGAAGAGUGACCGGUCAAAGGAUGAUAACAUACCAGACUUCAGUGAGAAACAAACAUCUAUCAAAAGUGUAAGAUCAGACUCACAUGUGUCCAGCUCUGUGUCUGUCAAGAGUGACCGGUCAAAGGAUGAUCCACUAAACUUCAGUGAAGAAACAACAUCACGAACCAAACGGUAUUUGAUGCGUUUCUUAUU